rnacentral:rRNA from 1 species
AGAGUUUGAUCAUGGCUCAGGAUGAACGCUGGCUGUGUGCCUAAUACAUGCAUGUCGAGCGAAGCACUUCGGUGCUUAGCGGCGAAUGGGUGAGUAACACGUACUUAACCUACCCCCAAGAUUGGGACAACACCUGGAAACGGGUGCUAAUACCAAAUACGUAUUUUUAUCGCAUGAUAGAAAUAUAAAAGGAGCUUCGGCUUCACUAGGGGAUGGGAGUGCGCUACAUUAGUUAGUUGGUAGGGUAAUGGCCUACCAAGACGAUGAUGUAUAGCGGGGCCGAGAGGCUGAUCCGCCACACUGGGACUGAGAUACGGCCCAGACUCCUACGGGAGGCAGCAGUAGGGAAUUUUCCACAAUGAACGAAAGUUUGAUGGAGCGACACAGCGUGCAGGAUGAAGGUCUUCGGAUCGUAAACUGCUGUUAUAAGGGAAGAAAAACUUUAGUAGGUAAUGACUAGAACUUGACGGUACCUUAUCAGAAAGCGACGGCUAACUAUGUGCCAGCAGCCGCGGUAAU